CAGCGGUAUUUUCAUCCUUCUCUUCAGUCUUCUCACAAACAGGACGAAUAUACAACAACAGAUACGUCGUCUUAGUUUGAGCAACAAGUCUGAGCUGAGUAAAUCUACGAAAUCCAGCUUGAAAUCCACCAACACAGAACACGUCCUAGUUUCAGCCCAGGAGACAACAACGAAGAUUAUACUUAAGCUGUCAAUGGACCAGGACUGGAAAUGGAAAUAAAAUAUAUUUAAGAUUUCAUAAAUGUAACGUAUUUAUUCAAAUCAAAAGUAAUAUUUUAAUGUUGAUUUUUACGAUAAAAUGUUGUAUGUACAUAUUUUUUAAAAUAGACUAAAACCAUGAUGCACAGCAGAAACCAAA